GCAGGGUCUUCUGUUAUCGGGCAAGGUCACGCUGGGAUAAAGUCAUAAAAUAACCAGCACCGCCUCCAUGGUGCCUGUGGAGCUACCGCUUGGUGUCCCGGCUGCGGUUCAGCCCUGUGGCAUGUCAAGGUUGCUGUGCUUCCCCCCCCCGCUAUAAUUUCAAAGAUUAUCAAGGAGCUUUAUUUAGAGAGGGGAAAAAAAAAAAGAAAAUUAUUUAGAAAGGAAACGUGGAGAAUGAGCGAGAAUUUCCCCCAGCUGUGUAGCGGAGGAGUUUUGUACCGACUCUCCGAGAGAUGAACUGUUAGUUAAAAGGACUCGUCAGAGAUGAGCUUCUAAUUUAAAGGACUUGCCAAAAUGUAACUGUAUACGGCGUGUUCUGCAACUCUGAGGAUCCCUGGCGUGUCUGGAGGCAUGUGCGUGUGCCCCGUGUUGCUGGGAUGAGUCAACAGUGUUUAUUUUGUCAAUGCAUUAAGUAUUUCCCAAAGGAAAUGCAGCCGGUGUGGGUGAAUCAACUGGAUUUGUCAUGGUCUGGACAGAGCAGCCUGCUGGGGCUUGAAGGAAAAUGUGAGGCAGUGAAGCCUGAGACUCACAAGGCUGAAGGGUGAAGUGGUGGGAGGCUGUUGGGAUUUUUUGUUUAUUUGUUUGGUUUUCUACAUUUCCUCUCAAAGCAAAUAUUUAUAUGAUGAGCUUCCAAAGAAUCUCUGGUGGGGGGCAAUAAAUAAAAUUCGGGGAAAGAAAAGUCUUUAGAAGUACUGGUGGAGUCAAUCUGUUUCCUGACCCCAGCAGUCACUGUGUCGUAGCUGUGCGUGCCUUUGUCCACCCUGUGCCUGCUGCCCGGAUCCCCAGUGCAACUCUGGGGACAAACAGCUCCUUACAUUUAACACGCGAGGCAUUUUCACAGUCAAAACAUGUCUCUUCGCAUCCUUCCAAACUUCUCCAUGCUGUUAUGAGUCACUCUGCUAUUACACCUGAUUUCCAGUUGAUAAGUUGUUGCAGUUUUCCACCCUGUAUUUCCUAUCCUGCUUCAGUUUGUAUCCUAUAAAGCAAAGUUCAUGGUCCAAAACAUAAUUUUGGGUGGUUCUUCUUUUUUUUUUUUUUUCUGAUUGCAAGGAAAUCCCUUUUUAAACAAGAUUGCAGUUUGUAUUUCUUGCAUUAUUAUGUGUUUUAAAAGAUGCUAUUGUAACAAUGGUUUGUGAAAUCCAUGUUCAGUGACUUUCUGGUACUCUGAGACCUUGGUUCUGUAUCUCUGCAGGUUUGGGCUUGUGUCAGCUCUGUCUUUUCUUCUUCACGAUAAAUAUUUUGAGUCUGCUACAUUUUUCUUCUAGAGUCUUCUGCUUCCUCUCACAUUAAUUAUUCACUGUGUAUUUUGACUGCACUUUGGUUUACAUUAUUGUUGUUGUUGCUGUUGCUUAGAGUUUCUAAGGGAAGGAGAUUGAAUUAAUUGGAAAGGAAAUAAUUUGAGGUGCUGAUCCCAAGUAUCAUUUGAUGAGAAACAUCACUAACCUGGUGCACAACCACUGGUGACAUUGGGACAGUCUGAAGCUGGAAAAAAUUAUUAUUUUAAACUAAUUGGAAAGUUUGGAUCCUGAAUGUGUAACUUAAAUUUUUUGAGUCUUUUAGCUUACAAUAACAUCUUGAGAAAAACAUAUAUGGAUAAAAAUGUCAUUUUCUUGACCCUCCUCACUUCAUGCUUAUUUCCUGUCUUCUUGUUUGGAACAAUACCUGCAUAUGAUCUCUGUAUCCUAAAUAAUUUUCUGCUGUAUCAUUUCAGCUUUCAUCGAUGCAGAUGAGACUUUGGUGAGGCCUGAACUCUGGUGCUGCUGCCCCUGGAUACCCCGGGAGUGAGAGAGCUGGGGGACAAGACCAGAAAUGCUGCAGUGAGAUGGAUAAUCUGGCCACCACCAGCACAGUUCUGAAACUGCAGUGAAAGUGUGCAGGAUUGGAAUCUGACAUGGCACACAGAAGAUCCAGAUUUCACCCCAUGCUUUCAGAACACAGUCCUGGUCUGGAUUC